CUUACUAAAGGAAAAGUAAUUGGAAAAAAUGGCAAAGUUAUUCAAGAAAUAGUGGACAAAUCUGGUGUGGUUCGAGUGAGAAUUGAAGGGGACAAUGAAAAUAAAUUACCCAGAGAAGACGGUAUGGUUCCAUUUGUAUUUGUUGGCACUAAAGAAAGCAUUGGAAAUGUGCAAGUUCUUCUAGAGUAUCAUAUUGCUUAUCUAAAGGAAGUAGAACAGCUAAGAAUGGAACGCCUACAGAUUGAUGAACAGCUGCGACAGAUUGGUUCUAGGUCUUAUAGUGGAAGAGGCAGAGGUCGUCGGGGACCUAAUUACACCUCCGGUUAUGGUACAAAUUCUGAGCUGUCUAACCCCUCUGAAACGGAAUCUGAGCGUAAAGACGAGCUGAGUGAUUGGUCAUUGGCAGGAGAAGAUGAUCGAGACAGCCGACAUCAGCGUGACAGCAGGAGACGCCCAGGAGGAAGAGGCAGAAGUGUUUCAGGGGGUCGAGGUCGUGGUGGACCACGUGGUGGCAAAUCCUCCAUCAGUUCUGGUAGUCUUUUCUAUACUCUGUCAGCAUCCAUUCUUUGUGAACAGUAUAGUUUUACAAAAGUUAAUUCAUCUCCCAGGGCCACCCAUUUUUGGAAGUUUCUCUUGCUACUCAUUAUCUUAGAGAAAGUGGUGGACCAUAUAGCAGUAUCAGG
rnacentral:sRNA from 1 species